rnacentral:rRNA from 1 species
UACGGGGGGGGCAAGCGUUGUUCGGAAUUACUGGGCGUAAAGGGCGCGUAGGCGGUGCUCUAAGUCGGAUGUGAAAACUCUGGGCUCAACCCAGAGCCUGCAUCCGAAACUGGAGUGCUAGAGUUCUGGAGGGGGUAGCGGAAUUCCUGGUGUAGCGGUGAAAUGCGUAGAUAUCGGGAGGAACACCGGUGGCGAAGGCGGUUCUCUGGGCCUUACCUGACGCUGAGGAGCGAAAGCGUGGGGAGCGAACAGG